CGACCCACGAUUUUGCGAUGUUUUAUCGGUGUUUUUGUGAUUUAAAAUGAUCGCUAGUUUUCAUACAAAUUGUUUUAAUAAGAGGUGGUACACUGAUAAGAACACUUCUGAUAACGUUUAUUUACUGCACCAGUGUACACUUUUAUAAACACACAGAUACAUUUAUUGGCAGCAAAUUUCAGUGGUUGAAGCUGAUAAGCUUUUACAAAGGUAUUAUUGUGAGUGAGUUCCCGACAUUCUGCGCAAAUAUGGGUCAACAUAAGAAUCCGGUCUCAGUUGCGCCGCGUAUAACAUUCAGAAAUGAGUGGGAUAAAGGACGAAGCUUCUGCAAUAGCUAAUGCUACCGCAGGCACUAAGAGAAGUAACGAUGGAGGCGCUGGUGAACAAGUGUCGAGGCUCAAGGGGCGUAAAAUCGCACAAUUGGAUCGGUCAACUUGCUCAGCUGGACCUUCAACUACUCAUCCACCCACCACAAUCUUUGCACUAAACACCUAUUGCUGGGAUAAGAUACUGUCCUAUUUGUGCCUGAGUGAGCAACUACAUCUCGCUGCCUCAAAUCAUCAGCUAAAAAUGCUUAUUGAAGCGCUGCAACACAGGUACAACAUCAUUGAAGAAAGCGUCACCGGAAGUAUCGGCGAAUCGGAGCUGCAACAACUACUGGACAUUGUCAGAGAGCACGUGAUCAGCUAUGAGUCGCCAUUGGAUCCGCUUUCUGGGCAGGAUCGGCAUUUGUGGAUGUUGCGGGACUACUGCCCAGACCUGCGACACCUCAAAAUGUCUUUUCGACGCCCCCGAUGGCACGAUUUGUUGCAAUUGAAGAAUCUAACAUCGUUACAUGCUAGCCUGCACUUCUCGAAUGCUGGUCUUUAUAAGAAUUUUAUAAUUAGCCUAAGUGCUUUGCCGCACCUGAAGAAAUUGAAAUUGGAGGCGACAUCCUACACGGGCGACGGACUACAUGCCCUGGAUAAAUUGGAGUACCUGGAGAUGGGCAACCAGCAUGGAUUCGAUGCCAGCAUUUUGGCCUCGUGCUGCAUGACAAUGAAGAAGUUGUGCCACCUUAACAUGGGUGAAAACACCGCCAACCUGGAAGGGGAAGACUUUCGGGUAAUUUUAAGAAGGGGCCACAAUCUGGAAAGGCUCGCCUUUACGAUAAUCAAUUUGAAAGAAAAUGUACCCUACGAUACUGUCCACCAGCUUCCCAAAUUGAAACACUUGCAGUUGUGGCAUUGCGACAUUAAUGCCAGUUUCAUCGAGAAACUCAUUCAAAAACCGGGCACUCCGUUGGAAAGUCUUAUUUUGGUGGGAGAUACCCUGGAACCGGAACAAGUAGAUCAUAUCUGCGAGAUAUCUUCACUUCGGGAGUUGUCUGUCGCAUGCAGAACAGAUGCAGCAAGAAGUUUUCUACGUCUGAAGCAUUUAGAAAUCUUGGACGUGCAAAUGCCAGAUGUCAGCAACGAUGAGCUGCUUGCGCUUCUGGAAGGAUGUGCUCUUUUAAACGUACUUGGUGUCCGAUAUUGCAGGCUAAUCACCUCUGAAUUUGUGUUAAAAGCUUUAAGUUUGUACAGUGACAGAAAAAUUAAAAUCUAUUUGCAUGAGUCAUCUGUUGAUUGGUGCCUUCUUCAUCUUCCGGUUCUGAAUGGCAAUACGAACAUUCAGUUCAUAAACGGCUAUUUAAAGAGUCCCAUAUUGAUGAACAACGAUUAAAUACAAACGAACAGAAUUUUUUGUUAGUUCAUAAAAAAACGUUUGACUUUUGCCAAAUAUUGCCUUACUAUAUUGGUAUUUAUGCCUUAUUUCUUGCAGAGCACGGAGGAAAUGGAUAUGAUGUAGGCGAACGGGAUUCAUUCCAGUUUAUUAUUAUUUAACCCUACAAGGUAUUCUAUGUAUAUUUCCAGAGAUGAUGACAUUUACAGGCUGCCGGGGCUCACGAUAUUAUACAAUGCUACCUGGUCUCCAGGACAUCGAGAUCGCAAAGGUCAGCAAUUGUGUGCAGGAUCACAAUGAUGGCCGGCAGUUGCGAAAUGUCUCGUCCAAAACAAUGCAAAAUCCGAUACACCUUUUCUUCAUUAUCUAAGGGCGUCGCAGCUGCUCUAGAAAACAUGCACAAAAUAUUCGGGGCAAUAGUCAUACAUAUAUGCUGAAUUAAGUCAACAUUUUGUAAGAAGCAAUAUAUAUUGAAUAGUUAUAACAAAUAUGUUGUAAAUAUUAAGCCACGUUAUGUAAUAUUUUCAAAUUAAAAGGGUUAAACAAAAAAUUAAAAAAUCAGGAAACAUAUUUUAGAUAAUAAUAGAACAUAAUUCAUAGAUAAGAAAUCAAAACAAUCACCAUAAUUGUUAACAAAUUCGCAUAUUAUUUAUUUUAAAGAAUGUUAUAUUUGUAUUUUUUAUAAAUAUAUAAAUAAAUAAAUUCAUAGGGAAGACGUACAUCGUUAAAGUCAUCCGAAUUGAUAAAUAUA